UCGAUUUGGGGUUGACUGAAUGUCACGAGUAGUGACAAUACGGAAAUUCCGGAAACUGCAAUAACGUAUUGAGAAACAGUCUUAUCUAAGCCGCAAAGCAGUCAGGGCUCAAAGAGACCCAGUGAACACUCUUCAGCUGUAUCCCCCGAACAAGAUGUUGUGGCCACAGAUUCUUCUACUGCCGCAGCUGAAAAGCCAAGGCAAAGAUCCACUGGCUCAGAAAAGCCAGAGUCCAGCAGGACAGGGACAGAUGAAGGAGAGGAUAAUUUGACUUGUGAUGAUUUACCUUCAUUGUCAUGGAGGACUGUGUGGUUUUUACGUUUCUUAAAGUGUCUGCUUUGGCUGUUGCUAUGGGGAGCGUUUAUUGAGCUUGAGUUUGGUGCCGUAUUUUUCGCCAUAUCUUUGAUAUUCUUUAUUUAUUUCAAUACUAGAACUGGUCCAAAGGAAAGUAAACUCAGUGCUUAUUCUGUAUUUAAUGAGAAUUGUGAACAGAUUCAAGGAACUUUGACAGCGGAGAAACUUCAAAGAGAAAUGUUUAGGGUACCAGGUCUUCCAUCGUGAUAAUCCUUUGAAUGAGACUGAUUGUGUAUGUGGACGUUAAUCAUUGAUCGUGCAAGAUUAUUGUUUGGACUCAACAAGAAUUUAUGCCUGGGUCAGUCCUCAUCCAUACUGCAACCACUAAGUGCACUUUAGCUAACAGCAUUUCAUGUCUACAUAUUAUAAAUACUUCCUGCUACCUUUGUGUCCUGAUCAUUAAAUUCUGUGAUGCUGUAAAUUGAA